ACAAAAGAAAAGUUUCUAAUAACCUAACAAUGUACCUCAAGAAUCUAGACAAACAAAAACAAACUAACCCAAAAUUGGUAGAAGAAAGGAAAUAAUAAAGCUCAGAGCAGAAAUAAAUGAAAUAGAGACUUAAAAAAUUCAAAAGAAUCAACAAAAGAGUUGUUUGUUUGAAAAUAUAAACAAAAUUGACAAACCUUUAGCUAGACUAAGAAAAAAAGAGAAAAUACAGGUCGGGCACAGUGGCUUACGCCUGUAAUCCCAGCACUUACUAGCAAACCAAAUCCAACAGCACACUAAAAAGAUCAUUCACCACGAUCAAGUGGAAUUC
rnacentral:lncRNA from 10 species